UUAUUUUUUUAUUGCUUCUUAACUAACAGUUACAAUUACCACCAUGUGUAAAAUAAGAUCAGUUUCAGGAUGACUUCAAGGCCCAAGUUUAUAACAUUGGCAGGCUACAGGAGGUGGGAUGAGUCCUGCCAAAGCUAACAGCUAAUUUGGGGAAGUCUACUCGGACAACUUUGGUAAAAUCAGCUAAACUCUCCUUAGUCUUUGUUUGCAGAAGUAGCAGCAGCUAGCUAACACCUUCUGAUUGCUCACCAUGUGCCCUUGACUGAGUUAAAUGUGUUAUAUGCAGACAACUGCGGUUGAAACAAGCUGCUACUCAUUAGCAGGAUGACUUAACCAUAAAAAUCUUCAAUUUUCUCUGGAAAAUGGGGAUAAUAAGCUCAUAUAAUCUCCUAGGGUUGCUGGGAGAAUUAAAUCAGAAGCUAUGAUAAUAAGGCAAACAGAUGCUUCUGGAGUGUAGCAGAUUGUAUUUCUGAAAAUGGCCACAAGAAUGUGCUCUCCUAGAACCUUGCCCAUGCCCCCAUCAAGAGGUGGAUGGUUCUUUGUGACAGCCACACUGAAUAGGAUGUGGUGGAGGUGGUACUGUGUGACUGGCUAAUAAAAGGUAAUAUGGCCUCUGUCUCUCUCUCGUUCUGUACUAUAAGAGUUCUGAACCAUCCUGUGACAAGUCUAGUUACCCUAAAGCUGUCAUGCAGGAGAGACCAUGUGGAGAGAAGGAGAGUUAGAGAGAGGAGGAGCCCCUGCUGUUUGAGUAUUCUCAGCCCAGACACCAGACAUGAGUGAGGAAGCAUUCAGAACUCCAGGCAGUGUGACCACCUGAAAACUUACACUUCCUAGCCUCCCAUGCAGAUGUGGUCAUGAUGGCUGGAGCCCUAGCAACCAUAUCAUGACCACGAGAAUGGGUACACUAGAACCAGGAUGGCAUGGCAAAGGAUUGGAAAAGAACCAGGGUCUCUGAUGACUUUAUGAGGCCACUACACAGCUCUACAUCGACUACCUCCAAUCUUAUUUAAUGAAAAGACAGAAGCUGAUUGAGGUCCCAGCUUGGUAACAGUUUGAAGAGUUGCAGGACUGGCUGGAUGAGUACUGGCUGCAGCAAAUCAGGCUGCCAGGAUUCUUUAUGGCUGUUUCUGCUUCCACUACAGCUGAGUCAGAAAGGUCGCUGCCCCGUGGUGGCACUAGACGCAGUGGACCUGGCAAGCAAAUGUUUCCGCUAUUAGCUCUCAGCAACAGAGACUCAUUUAUGGUCACCUUGGAAAUCUGGGCUUAUCGAUCUACAGCCCAAGUCUGCUGAGAAGCUGGAGCUUACUAAAGGGGAAACCUGAGAGCUGUUCAAGCCCCAAAUAUUUUCCACUUCUGCGUCACCUCUGCUGUCUGUUAGCAGAGUGGAGGAGAAAAUACACAGCACAAACAACGUGAAAAAAUAGUUACUCUAUUCAUUAAAAGCUGUAACUUCCAGAUUGGACUUGAGAAGCAAUUAAGCAACAGAGGAACCUCAUCUACUAUCUGUAUUCAGGCAUGCUCAUGAGAACACGCUGCUCCAGCUGGACUUAGAGGAACCCGGUGCAUCACAGGCAUUCCUGACAGAGUCUCGUGGUCCUGCUGGUCCACUCAGUGGUACUCAGUCCUCCUCAUUCUCGGGGAUAGGUUCCAAGACCCCCAGGGGAUGCCUGAAACUGCGGAUGGUGAAAUGCCAUCACAUCCUUCAUACUCAUAUUUUUAGGACCAUAGGAGACCCAAUAUAUCUGUCUGUAUUGCAAUAAAUUACAAGGCUUUGACCAAAGACCCAGUUCCUAACUGACUGCUCUUGAAGCCAGCUCCACUGCAGAAUUAAGGAACAGAGAUGAGACUUGUCUGACAUGGGGAACUGUCACAGGAUAAUACCUUUGAAAAGCCUGGUUUUAGAACUUGCCUCUCUCAAUUUGAGGCAGUGUAUGUUUUUAAGUUUCUAAAAAUAAGAUAUUAUAAGAUUUGUAACAUUACAAUGACUGCCAAUGCAAAGAACCUCUGGGACUCUAGUGCAUCAGUGGAAUAUCAGCACAUUGAUGGACAUGUGGACUAUUUGGAUUCAGAAGACCUGGUUUGAGCUCAUCUCUGCUGCCAACUGUCUGUGUGACCUUAAGUAAAAUUAUCUCCUCUCUC
rnacentral:lncRNA from 1 species